rnacentral:lncRNA from 1 species
GUGUUUGUGGGGGAAAUCCUUUAUUUUGGGAAAGUGAAGGGUGAAGGUUUUUCAAGCAGCAUGUGCGCAAAUAUCUAGAAAGGAAAUGCCAAAUUGUUAUUUUUGAUUAAAUGUUUAACCUCGGAAAAGUCUGACACUCCAACUUUGUUUUUGAUUUAUCAUUUUUUAUUAUUUUCGAAAAACAUGAGUUUGACUAUUCGCAAGAAAGACAAGUGACUCAAGAUAUGCACAAGAUGCGUGAUUUUAUUAAACGAAAAUGAGGGUUAGAAGAUUGCACACAUCUCCCUUUGUGCCCUUACGGAGGUUCGACGCUUAGGAUUCAAGGUCUAGUAUAUGCAAUCUCACAAGGAUGGUUCCCUGAGCCUAAAGAUCAAUGGUCACUAGAGCUAUGGCCCUCUUCACAGCGUCUCCACAACAGUCGAGUAAUCAACUAGAUGCAGAGAGACAAAUGAAAAGAACAGACUCUAGCUGGAGUUCUCACGAUAGCCAGACAGGAAGUACAUCCCAGAGUGACACCACUACACAACUCCUCUAAUUCUAAGUUACACUCAGACCCGGGUAUAGGGCCCCACUCAUGAUAUGCAUAAAGUGUGUGUGUGAAGGGAGAAUGCAAUGCACCCAAACCCUCACCUGCAAAACAACCAGAACAUUCCCACGCAGAUAUAGCAUGUUUUCUACCCUAGGGUUCAAUAUACAACAAUUAUUGCAAUUAUUUCAAACAUCAAACAUAGAUAAGGAAAAAGGGACUAAAACAUAAAGCAAAACCACAUCGAAUUUGCGCAUCUAAUUAAAUGACCUAACUCUCAAAGUCCCUAGUGGAGUCGCCAUCUGUCGCAACCGAAAUCGCGACGGGACGACGAUCCAAAAAGAAAACGUUUGAAAAACAAUUCGGAGUCGCCACCAUAGUUUAUUCUGGAAAACUACGGAAAAACCAGAAAAUGAUAAGACUUGGUCUACAAAAACCAGAUUCCAGGUUCGGGAGUCGGUUACAUGUGGGGAAGGUGUUAGCACCCCACAACGCCUGCCCCAAGGCAGUACCUUUAAUAAAAUGCGCAAACUUGAUGUGGUUUUUCAAAAUAUUUAAUUAUCCCUGAAAAUAAAAUUCUAAAGGAACAAUUUUUUUUUUUUUUGCCCGACAAGGAUUGACCUUUCUCCUACGUAUUCUCAAAAUGAGAAAUCAGGGUUACGUAGUUCUAGAAUAAAGAUUGAUUGUUGUUUGGAAAAGGAUGUUUUGUAUUUUUGGUAUUUUUUUGUAAGGAAGAAGAAAAGGUCUUCUAGCACAAGGACGAUGCGAGCGAUCACACAUGUGCUUAAACCCUUAAAAUAUUUUUGAUUACUUUUAUGAAAAGGAAGAAAAGGUUUUAUAGCACAAGGACGAUGCGUGCGAUCACACAUGUGGUUAAACCCUUAAAAUAUUUUGAUUAUUUUUAUAAAAAGGAAGAAAAAGGUUUUCUAGCACAAGGACGAUGCGUGCGAUCACACAUGUGCUUAAACCCUUAAAAUAUUUUUGAUUAUUUUUAUAAGAAGGAAGAAAGGUUUUAUAGCACAAGGACGAUGCGUGCGAUCACAGAUGUACCUAAACCUUUAAAACAUUUUUAUUUUUUUUAUAUUUUUAAUUUUAUUCUUUUUACAUUUUAUAAUUUUAUAAAUUUGNCCUAAUUUAUUAUAUGAAAAUAAUUUUUUUUAAAUGAAAUAAGACCAUAUCUAAUUAUUAAAUAAAAGAAGAAUUUUAAACACUACGAAAUCUACUUCCGACAAAAUAAUAGUUACUCAAAUAUUUAGAAUAAAACAAAAGUUUGAAAUAAACAAAAUAACGCAUAUUGGCAUAAUAAUGGUAAACAAGCUAUAUAGAUAAAACGUACGUGUGGGAAAAAAUGGGUUGAUAUAUUAUAGUUGCAUAAAAAAAAAAGAAUGAAUAUAAAGAAACCAAACAUGCAUAGAUUACAAUUGGUGAAGAAAAGUUUGAGACCCAAAACCAGGAAAAAAAAGAAAAAAUGAUGAUAAAAUGUAAUAAAAACAAAGAUAAAAAUAAAAAAUAGAAAUGAAAUAAAUAAGCAAAUAAAAGAAAGAAGUAAGAAAACGACGCAACAAAAUAGAAAGAAAAGGGAAAAAGAGGUUGGGUUCAAAGUUUNUUACCAACCAGAAAGUUCUUCUUCUAUUUUUUCGAGUUCCCUUAUGUUCUUUUUCCGAAAUUGGAUUUUUUCUCCCCUUUACGUUAUCUUAUUGAAAUUGAAUUUUUUUCCCUUUUUUUUGUUUACAAUGUGCAUAUUUAUAUACCCACAUUUGUAAUAUUAUUGCGAUCUUGCCUUAAUGGCGAAUUAAUUGUCAAUUAGCAAAACAGGAAAUAAAUGGUCUUGAUUGAAUAAAAAUAAAUCAAAUUAAAAUCAUAUUUUUCUCUUUAGGAAGAAAUUGAAUACAACAAUCAAUAUAUUAUUUUUAAUUAUUUCUUGUAAUGAUUGUCAUAAUACUGAUUCAAAUUAUUACCAAAUAAAACAAAAUUUCAAAAAUAUUCUAAACUGAUCUGUCAUGCAUUAAUAUUCUAAAGUGAUCUUUUAAAAAUAUUCCAAGAAAAUCAAAUCUUUUUCUUUUCAUUUUUUCACGUGCACCCCCUUUUUUUCCUUUUUUUCCUUCCUUCUUUUUUCUUUUGUUUUUUUUUUCUUUUUUUCAUUUUUUCAUUUUUUUUUCUUUUUCCUUUAUUUUUUUUGUUUUCUAUUUUUUUUCGUUCUUUUUUCAUUUCUUUUCUUUUUGUAAUUAUUUUUAUUUUCUACUUUUCCUUUUUUUUCUUCUUUUUGCGUGCCUUUCCUUUUUCCCUUUUUUUCUUCUUUUUUCUUGUCUUUCCUUUUUCCUUUUUUUUCUUCUUUUUUCUUUUAUUAUUUUUUUUGCUUUUUUUAUUCUUUCUUCGUUUCUUUUUUUAUUUGUAAUUAUUUUUUUUAAAACUAAACAAAAUAGUAAAAUAAAAUUAAGAAUGACAAAAUAACAUAAUAAUAAAAAAAUAAAAGAAAAUAAAUGACAUAGGAUAACAAUAAAAACAAUGAGUGGAAUGUGAUUGAAAGAUGAUUAGAAGGUAAUUGGAAGUACUUGGCUUGUGGCCUGACUCUCUAUUUAUAAUUUGUCUCAUGGACCUUGAACUGAUAUAAGUCCAACAGAAUAAAAUAUAAACAUAAUAUAGUAUAAACAGACUUACCUGAAAAUAUCUUUAAAUAAAUAUUCUUGAUUAUCCCUUGAUUAUUUUAUCUUCAACUUAUCAAUAUCUUUAAUAAGAUAUUAUUGAUUAUCCUUUGAUUAUUUUAUAUCUUUAAUAAGAUAUAUCGUACCCGCUCGACUCAGAAGAUAUUAUACUGUACACACUCCAUGUAAUAUAUAAUGUAAAUUGAAAAAAAUGGAUCAAAAUAAUAAUUAAACUAUAUUAUAAUAUAUUAAGGAGUAUACACCAAUUAAUAAGACCUCUUAUUCUAUGUAUAACACUUUUUUUUUCUUUCUCUCUUUUUAGUGGAGAGAAUAAUUUUCGCAAAAUUCUUUACCAAGAAAUAUUUUAAAGUAAAAACUUUUGAUUUUGUUUUCUUAAAAUUUCUUUUAUAUGGAGUGCUUUCCAUAAAUACACCUGUUAUCAAAUUUAUCUAAAUUGUAGUGGACAAACAUGUUUGACCACAAGUAUGAUAUGAUUUUAGCAUAAUAUGAAAACCAAAAUUACAUAACAAAAAUUGAGUUAAACUAUAGACUUCGAAAAAAUAUAAAGAUCAAAAUUACUUAAAAAAUUAAAAGAACAAAAUUACAUAUUGAAAAAAGAAUUGAAUACAAAAUAUAAUUAAGCCUGAUAAUUUAUUCUAACUUCACAUAAUUACACUUUCAUAAAUGCUUUUUUUUUAAUUUAUUGCAUUUAAAAACUGAUCUGAAAACAUCUCAGAUUGUAAUAACUAUAUAUGGAUUUUGAAAGUACAAUAACAUUUCUUAAAAAGAGUCUAGAUUAUCAAUGCGACGACGUUUUUAGCAAGAAUCUGUGCGAGGGUUUCGGACAUGAUUAUUGCAAAGCCACAAAGCACCUCCUCCUUCUCGUCGAGCUUCCUUUUCUGGUUUCUACAUUGGAACGAAUCGAGGGCAAAAAGAAAUGAAAAUUUGCGACGAUGACGUCAUCGACGAUUCAGGUUCGGCUGGCGCGUUUCGAUGCACGCGCUCCCAAGCGGCUCCGGAUUGGAGCGUCAUCGAGUCUCUCAUUCUGGUGAACGAAGUCGCGGCGGUGGAAGCCGACUGCUCCGUCGCGCUCUCCUCCUACCAGCAGUGGAACAUCAUCGCCCAGAACUGCAUGGCCUUGGACGUGCAGCGCAACCUCGCGCAGUGCCGCCGCAAGUGGCAUGCAUUGCUCUCUGACUACGACCGCUUCAAGGGAACCGCCGCCGCUAGAGGCAAGUUGCCGCCGAAUUUCGAUUACGAAUUGUUUGAGGCCGUCGAACGCGUUGUGAGGGCGCGUGAGGAGCGGGGCAUGGCUGAUCCCGAGAGCGAUACCGAAGCAGGGAACGAGGCGCGUGACGCCACCGUGGAAAUUGGUACGCACCGUUCUAAUUUUUCUGUGAACUUUGUGUCAUUGUGUUAUUAGAAGAAUGACUCGCCUACUAUUAUUAACCGGUUAUUUUCAUUUCUGAAACUGUAUAUAAUUUAAGAAUUGUUAGGAGAGUGUUAUGAUUUUUCAGAUGGUCAUCCAAUCACUAAUUGAUAUGUAUGAAAGGAUCAUUAUUUUUUUAAUAAUUAUUUUAAAGAAGUCGUGUGUACUGUGUGGGGGUGAUGUUUAAUUGGUUGACCAAUAAAAAUCUUUAUACUUACAUGUUGUACUCAAGUUUUAGUGAAGUGUAUGCACUACCAUUAAAAGACUUUACAUGGCCAUAUAAAAAUUAUCCUUCAACUAAAUUAUAAAAUUCAACUCAUUUUUAUAUUUCAUAUACUUUAUUAUACACAAUAGUUUGUGAUUGGAUAACAGUGUAAAAGGUCUUUAUGUAAUCUGUUAUUUGUUCAUUUUGAGCUUGAAUUAUCAAUAAUUGAGGAAUUGGUUCUUUGAACUUACCAUAUAUGACAGUUUAAGUUUGGUGUGAAUAUGAUUGCUACAAUCUUUGUUAUGGUGAUUGGUUGACUAAGUAGUUUGAUUCAAUGCAUUUAAACAUGGAGUGUUAAAAUACGAAAUUUAUGCUUUGUAUCAUGGCUAAUAGCAAUUGACUGAUGGUUCUCGUAGAUAUGCCUAAUUGAGCAUGUUCAUGUAUUUGUCGCCAUAUGGGUAAGUUGUUUGUGCUGGCAUGGAAGGGGGAUGUUAGAGGAGGCUUUCGACUAACCAGUCUUACAACUUAAUUUGUCUUUAUUAACCAAUAUAUGGUUGGUGGGCUAUUUUAAAUGCACACCUGUGCUCUUAAGAACCCUAUAUUUUUCCAGAUGGUAGUGUUGUUGACUGGUGAUUGUAUAAAACGUAAUGGAAGCCUAUUGUCAAUGUUAAAUGUUUAGUUUGGUAGGCUUAGGGGCCUUUGUUGAUUUAGAGAGCUCAUUAAUGACUGAAAACUCAUUAAGAGAUAUUGAGGGGAUAUUUAAGGAUAAACUUGUUUAGAUCCUAAUUUAUUUUUUUUCCUUAGUAAAAGGUAAUGAACAAACCAUGGAAUUUAAUUAGUCAGUUAAUACUUAGCGGUAGAACUGUAAGCUGGAUUCUUUUUAUAGCUUUAGAUUAGAACGUGCACUUCAGAACUAGGGGACGUAGCAUCCACUCCCCACCUAUUGAUGAAUGUGCACUUCAGAUCUAGGGUUGGCAAAGCACCCACUCCUCACCUGUUGAAAAAAACAUGAUCGGGUGGAUUGGCUCUAGUCUGAAAAGGGAUUGAGAAGGCCAAUUUUCACUCUAUCCCAUCAUGACAAUAAGAAGAUGGGGAAAAAGAAUGAUUGAUGCAGGGUUCGCUGACAGGUUGCACCACACCUUGAAUGGGUCAUUGGGUCUCUCAGCAGGAAUACUAUGAUGGAAGAUCUUUGCCCUUUCAUGGAAGAUGCCAGAUUGGCCUCAAUGGUAUGGAGCUUGUUGCAUUAUUGAACACAUUUACAUGAAAUACUACAUCUAGGCUUGGAUUGAUAGUGGUGACUCUAAUUGGGCCAUCAAUGGAGCUUGUGCAUUGUGGUUGUUGAAUUAGGUGUUCAUCUUGACAAGAAGCUUGGAUUUAGAGUUUUAAUCCAUCAUUGGGUAGAGGUUGUCAUGCAACCAAAAAUUUGGGCCUGGAAUGGAAUUCGGAAUCAACAGAAGGAAAUCGGAAAGCAUUAUGGUCUUUUAGUGAAAUUAUAUGUAGAAACAAGAGUAUAUUGCUCAUGCACUAACGAUAGAUCUUGGUGUAUUGAGCUAUUUCUAGGGUUCUGUGUUUGAUAGUUGUAACAUCGUCUCUUAGUAGGUUUCAGUCUAAUGACUCAAUAUUAUGUCAUUUGGUAAACCAUUGGUCUGUUGUAUAUGUUCAAUUAUGUCAGGCAGUUGUCUCUGUGUAUCACCAUUUUGUUGUUCUAUAUUAGGGUAACUUGUACUUGUUGCGGAUAUACAACAAAGUAACGAUUUGUAAAGCUUAUUUGCUUGCUAAACAAGAUAAUUCUUCAUCUUUAUGUUGUUAUGCAUGCUCUUUGUUCUGUGUCUCUAGUUGGUUAACCAGUAUUGUUUCUUUCAUUGUACUCUGAGCUCAUUUUGGCACUUGAUUCACAAGAGACUGGUAUUAGAGCCAACUUUGAUCUUGUUUUGUGUUUUGAUAAGUUUUUGUAAGAAGAUAAGUAUCACAUCCAAGAACGAGAUGAUCAAUGGGAAGAACAAUUUCUACUGGUGUAGAAUUAAGAUGUGAUACAUUUGUCACAUUUUAAAGCAUGUCGCAUAGAGAGGCAAGUUCUUGUGUAGAUGGAGAAAAAUCUUAUUCGAUGACACUUUUGUCAUUUUAAGAUAGAUUCUUUAUUAUGUUGCAAAAGAGAAGACCUUAACAAUGUUGUGGCAAGUUGAAGAAGCUCUUUAUCACAUAGUCCAUUUGUGACGAACUUUUGUUGAAUAAGAGGUUGUUUGAGAUCUGUAUGACAGAGCAUACGCCAUUCAAUGCUCAUCUUGAUGAGCUCAAUUCAAUUUUGAUGGAGCUCCAAGCCAUUAACACGAAAGUAGAUGAGGAUGUAACAAUGAUUCUAUUGACCUUUCUCACACUGUUGUACAAGAACUGGGUGGGUUCUUUGAGUGUAAGGAAGGACUGCAUCACGCUUGAAGAGGUUAAGUUUACCCUCUCUUCUAGUGAGCUUCACCUCAAAAGCAUCUAAGAGUGUAAAAGAUGAUCAUCCUCUACAUUAGUGGUCUUCAAGAUUGACAAGAUGGUUAAAGUGUUGAAGAAGACAAAGGUUGAUCCUACAGAUGUUUGCAGAUGUUGAAAGCAAUCGAGACAUUGGAGGAGAGAUUAUAUAAGGUUGGGGAAACAAGAUUGUGGUUGCUAUAUUUUAGAAGGCGGAGUUGUAUGAUGAUUAUCAAGUGUUGACUACUAUCUCAAAACAAAAGUCUUCUAAAAGGGUGCUGAAUUCUUGGUGCUCCUUUCACAUGAGACCUCUAGGAGACUUGUUAUCCACCUUUGAUGUCCUUGAUGAUGAAUCUUUAAAGCACACUGCUCAGCCACCAAAUGCUAUUUCUCUUACUUCUAUGUUGCCUUCUCUUCGGUAAGCUGCUUGACUUCCUUCACCUUGGACAACAAGGCUAGCUUGUGCUUUGCCAAGGACUUCUCCAAUUCCAUGAUGUGCCCAAUACCUUGGUGAGGUCUCUUGCAAACAACCUUCUUCCAAUGAUGAACGGUGAUCAUGCUCCUCCUUGCCAUCAUUAUCUCAGCUAAAUCAAAACUUUCAUUGGGCUCCAUAAUAGACACGAAAUAGUCUUACUAAAUGUGAAGAGUUGUAAGAGAUGUUGUGGAACAAAUCUCUUUCCCGAGUUGUGGCUACUAAGAAAUGAGCUUUGGUUGUAAAUUUUGAUCACCAAAUGGAGGUUCAUUUGUAGAAGACUCUCCAAUGCUCAAAUAAGUAGAAACACAAAAUAUUAAUGAGUGAAGAGAACUAAAUGAUAUGUCCUUUAGCAUAUGUUUAUAUUUAUAGUCCUUUGGGCCUCCAUAAAUGGGGCUAAGUAAACAGUAAACCUUUCAGUUUCUUAGUUUCUCUCCUUGCUUUACUCAAUUGAUGAAGUGGUUGAUCUAUUUUCAUUUUGGAUUUGAUUCCUAUAUCUGUGGUAAUCAGAGUGUACUUCUGUUCGGGAGUAGGUUGGUACACAUUUUAUUGGUACAAAAUAUAGAUAUUACUUCGUGGAUGGCUAAUCUCCUUAGAAAUACUUGGUUGCUCAUCUUUAGUAGAGAGUCUUUCCUUUCAAUCACAUUUUUUAUAACUCAGAAGGUUUAUGAUAUAUCUUGUUUAAGAAAAUUGACUUUAGUUUCACUUGGACCAACUACUUGUUCAAUAAGUUUGGAGACAUAAUAUUGACUUUUUCGUUGAAUGAAAAUACAAAAAAAGGAAGAAUGGGACACAUCUCAUACGACACAAGAGUCUUUAUAUGAUAUUUGAUUUUGGUUAUUUUCCGUUUUUAACACAAAGGCAGAGCAAGUUGAGAGAAGAAAAUUGUGACUCCUACAAAUUGUAAUUGAGCAUAAUUUUUUUUAUUAAUUAUGAUUGAUACAUAUGGAGAGUUGAGAAUAUUUUGGCCUUUCAUUGGUUGUCGUAUGCAGUUUAAAUAUAAAAUGAUCAUUCUUACUUAUAGUUAAGUGGUAGUAAUUGUCAAUAAUGGCACCAAUUUUUCUUAGUUUGUUUUUUUUUGUGUGAAAAUUAAUGUAUAGCAUGAGGAACUGUUUUGAUCAACACGAUAUAAUUUCACAUGUUUCUUCCUUUUUCCCCCCUUUUCUAGUUAUUUAGUUAAUGAAUGUUACUAAGCUGUUUUAUCCCUUUUGGAGCAUAACCUUGUGAGUUUCCAAACUGAUGAAUUUUUGUGAUUCAAUGAAUAGGGUCCAAAAGAAAAGGACAACGAAGUAAGUUCAGACACCGCAUUCAAAAGCUCAAACUUGAAGAAAGGCAGGAGGACAGUCACGAAGAAGAGCAUGAGGAUGAUCAUUCAGAAGACGAAUAUUUGAAAGACUACCUAGAAUCAAGACCUAAGUUGAAAUGUAAUACAGAAAGGCAUCCAAAGCAUUUGGUAAUAUCACCAAAGAGUCUUCCCAAAGUAGAGCUUCAUGAAAACCAUACUGAAAGGCCAAAGCCAAUCACUGUAGAAAAGAUAGCAAUUAGCAGGGAAGAAAAUCAGGAAACAUUGACUCUGAAAUUGCAAGACUUGGCAGUGGAGAUUGAAGCAAUUGCUACUAAAUCAGCAACAGACUAUAAGGGAGGUGACUCUAAGAAUGUAGAGGAUUCCUGUACUGACUUUACAAGACGCCAAGGGGACAAACUCAUAACAAGCCUUGGAGAUUUCUCCAACACCCUCAAGCAACUAUGUGAUAUUCUCCAAGAGUGUAAAUGAGCAUUACAAUGUUCUCUGCAACACUAUUUUCUGCCCUUGUUAGUAAAAAAAAUUACUUAGGCAUAGGAAAGAAUGCUGCUGCCUUAUGCUAAUGUUGUCUUCACUCGUUGCUGCUGCGAAAGCAAAAUACAGCUUAACAAGACAUUUGUGUACUGUUUUAACCUAUGUAGCAUGGAUACUAAUCCUGACUCCGAUACAACAUUGACACGGAUAGUUUGAUACAUGGAAUCUGUAAAAUGUAGGACAUGGAGACAUAUUAUUAUGAAUUAUUUAAAUUGACAAUCAAGAUUUAUAUAUUUAAAAUUAUUUAUAAAUAAGGUUAGUUAAAUAUAAAAAUUUAAACAUUUUGUCAUAUAAUACAAAAGUAAAUUUAAUUUAUCUGUAAAGAGAAUAUAAUUUAUUUAAGCUAUCAAAUUUCCUUUUUUAUUAUUAUCAUUGGAAAAAAAACAUUUUAGUUGUUAUAUAAAGAUACCAUAGAAGAUUAAAUAAAAGUAUUGUGAAUUGUAAGGACCUAGAAAAUAGAGAUAUAAGAGUAAGUAACUCUAUUAAAAUAAUGAGAUGAACAUUUUACCUUAAAAAGUAACUUUUAAUAAAUAGAAUUUUUUAAAGUUCGGUUUAUUAUCGUAAAUACUUUAUUUUUUUAGAACCUCUGUUCUCUACUUCUUUUCUACAUUCUCUCUAGGAUUUCUUCUUUACAUUCUCUCAUUCUUCCAUCGAUAAGCUAUUUUUCUUCUCUUCCGUGCAAUUUAAGGCGGUAAGCCUGCAACAGAUUCUGAUUGCAUGUGCAUUCUUCUUUUUCUCAUCAAAUUUUAGCUCCAUUUAGGUCCUAAAUUCUGUCUUCUACCACAAAUCAGUGACUAACAACUGCUUUAGACCUCUGUUGCCUUUUCGGAAGACAACUGCUUAACGAAAAUUACCUAGCGCACGUGUCAUGUAUCUAACAACUUUUGGCGUAGCUUUUCCACGUGUUUAAAGGGUGAUAAGUGUGAAUUGCCACUUGUCAAAAGAUUUGUGAAUCAUGGUUGGUGAUCAGGAUACUAGUUACAUGUAGAUUUGAGGUUGAAUCUCCUAUAAAUUCAAUGUUCCUCCUCUUGUACAAACACUUUUGAUAUUAUUAGUGAAAUACUAUUGAGAUUAUUCCAUCCUUUUCUUCGCUUAAAAGUUACUAGCCAAAGACCUUUCUUGUCUCCUCUAGCCUUCUUUCCUAGCUAGGUUAUCCUAUAUAGUUCAAUCAUAUCCUAGCUAGGUUGGCCUUGCUCAACCUCUUAUAGAAAAUUAUAUAAAGGGAGCAAGGGACUAUCGUUCAAGGAAAGUCCUUUAGUGCCAAUAACAUCACCUCCAGAUGGUACCAUUCCUUUUCUGUAACAGAGGUGGGACAACCAAAGAGCCUUGAAUAUGUUAGAAGUUGUCUCUGCUCAGAAGCAAUGGGAAGUUCUUACAAGCUUCUUAUUUGAAGAACCCAAUGAAGGAAACCCAACCCAACCCCGCCACCACCACACCACAUCAAACUCUUUCAACCACCUUUCUAUCCAAGCCUUCUUUUUCCCCUAUCUAUUACUCUUCGCCACCUAUCUUUCUUCGUUUGUGCCAUAAUUUGUUUUCCAUACCCUUUUUUAUGUUUAUCAUAUAGGGAGAGAAUAAUUCUAAACACAGGUAUGAUAUUACAUUCAUAGGGAGAAAUGUAAUGAUAAGAUAUUGCAUUUAGGUCUCAUGUUGAAAAUGAAAAAUGUUUAUCUGUUGAAAUAUAAAAAUAUUCAUGUUUAGUGUUAACCGUUUACUCUUAUAUACAUAUAUAUAUAUAUAUAUAUANNNNNNNNNNNNNNNNNNNNNNNNNNNNNNNNNNNNNNNNNNNNNNNNNNNNNNNNNNNNNNNNNNNNNNNNNNNNNNNNNNNNNNNNNNNNNNNNNNNNNNNNNNNNNNNNNNNNNNNNNNNNNNNNNNNNNNNNNNNNNNNNNNNNNNNNNNNNNNNNNNNNNNNNNNNNNNNNNNNNNNNNNNNNNNNNNNNNNNNNNNNNNNNNNNNNNNNNNNNNNNNNNNNNNNNNNNNNNNNNNNNNNNNNNNNNNNNNNNNNNNNNNNNNNNNNNNNNNNNNNNNNNNNNNNAUAUAUAUAUAUAUAUAUAUAUAUAUAUAUAUAUAUAUAUAUAUAUAUAUAUAUAUAUAUAUAUAUAUAUAUAUAUAUAUAUAUAUGACUUAGAUUUGAUAUUUGUGCUCUGAUACAUGUGUGAAUACUUUUUACUCUAAUAUAUGUAUGAACAGUUAUACCUAUUUAUGCUCUGAUACACAUAAAUGUUUAUUUAUGCUCUAAUACACACAAGUGUUGUUCAUGAUCUAAUACAAAUGUUUUCAUAAGAGGUUCAUGUUUUGCUUUGAUACACAUGUUGUGCACUAAUUGAUAUAUGACUUAUGGAAGUCAUAUAUUAUUGAUCUUGAAUAAUAUGAUAACCGUCUGAUGCUUUGACACUACAAAUAACAUAUGCUCUGAUAAUGUCAAACAUUAUGCUUUGAUACUUGAAAAAGAAAAAAUGAUGUUAUAUUUAAGGACAAAUCCUUCUCAAGAAGGAGGGAAUGAUGACUUAGGUCUAACCAGACCUCUUCAUGUUGCAACUGACCUUAAAUGAACCAAAUCACUUAUAGCACCCAACUCGAAUCGCUCAAUGUGUUGUAUAUGCAGCUCAGUGCCACGUCACUAAACUAAACUCUUAGGCUGCUCAAUGUCAUCAUCGAGAAGACAACUACUCAGCGAAAAUUACCCAACGCACGCGCCACAUGUCUAACAACUUCUAGUACAACUUUUCCACGUGUUUAAAGGGUGAUAAACGUGAGCUUCCACUUGUCAAAAGAUUUAUGCAUCAUGGUUGAUGAUCAUGGUACUAGUUGUACGUAGACUUGAGGAUGAAUCUCCUAUAAAUUUAAUGUUUUUCCUCUCGUGCAAACACUUUUGAGAUUAUUAGUGAAAUAUUGUUGAGAUUACUCUAGCCUUUUUCCCUAACUAUGUUAUAUUAUCUAGUUCAAUCCAUCACCAUACACAUCAUAAACAAUCCAGCCAUCCUUAACCAUUAUUUUUUAUUACCUCUUUGUCUCCAUUGUCCAACUCGUAUAAAUAUAGGACUUCAAAUUUUCCUUAUCUUAUAAAAUGAAUUUAUAAAAUCUUAAUUUUUGUAAGAAUAAUAACUUACUACAGCCUUUUCAAAUAACAAUAUUAAUGAAUAUUAAUGAUAUCAUAUACUUAUUUCUACAACAUUAUAAAAUAACAAUAUUAAGAAAUAAUAUAUCAAAAUCAUCUUUCAAUUGUUAUUUUUUUUUAACUAUAGUAACUAACUACAACAUUAUGAACAAAUAAUAUUAAUGAUAUCAAAUACUGAUUUCUACAACAUUGUGAAAUAACAACAUAAAAAUGUAGGUUUAUAUCUUAUCAUUUUAAAACCACAAUUUCAAACAAUAACCAUAAGUUCUUUCUAAUAACUUCAAAUUUUAAAAAUAAACUUAAUAUCAUAAGCAUACCUAUAUUACUAUAUAAUUGUAACGCUACAUUAGUUAUAAAUAAUUACUUUAGGAUAUUAUACUAAAUAUGUAUUAAACAUUAAAUUUCAAUACUAUAUAGUGUUUCCAGCAACUAUAUAUAUUUUUGUUCACAAUAUAUGUCAAUAUAAUGAAAAACAAUUACACAUAUGAAUAACUCUAAGCCAAUUUCACUAUUAUAUCAAAUUUUAAUUUACCUACACUUCCAAUAAAUAUAAAUCUUAAUGUAAUUUACAUUAAAAUUGAUUCCCUUUAUUAAAUUACUAUAUUAACAUUAUUAACUAUAUUCAAAUAUUAUAUACAAAAUUAAUAAAAAAAAACCUACAUAAGAUUGUAUUGAAAAAUAUCUGGCUCAUGCUAUAUACAUCGUGGUCAUCAUAAUCGUUAUUAUUAUUAUUAUCAUUCAAAAUGUACAUAAAUAUUAUUUUACCUUAAUAUACCAAAUCUUCCCGUACACCAAUAAUAAUUAUUUACACCGAUAACAUGAAUUAAGCUUUAACCAACAAAAAUAUAGAUGAAAACGGCACUAUGAAUUAUAGUGUAGCAUUUCGACUUCACUGGGGAUCGAACCCAGAAUCUCUGGUUCCGUAGACCAGCGCCUUAUCCAUUGGGCCAUGAAGUCAACUUGAUGGCAGUAAAUUACUUGAUUAAAAUAUCAACAGUUAAAAUUAACAAAAUUUAUUCUACCAUAAUAAUGAUAUGUAGUUAAAAGACUAUUGAAGUGAUUAAUCCCCAUUUUUAAAAAUAAUAUUAAAUACAAUUUUAAUCUUUUCAUUCUAAAGAUUAUUCCUUCAAAUCUCACUUGAUUAUUUAUGUUGGACUAAAAGGAUUAUUAUUAUUUUUCAUUUUUUUUUAUUGAAGUUUAUAUGUUAAAGUUCAAUAUCAUAAGAAACAUAUUAUUUAUACUAUUAGUCCCUGUGAAGCCAUAAGUUGAAUUGUAUAUUUAUAUUUUUUAUAAUUUGCUCAUGUAUUAUUUGAUGAUGCACAGAAAAAUGAUAGUUUUAUAUGAUAGAUAAUAUGCUAAUUUUUUUUAAACCUAGUUUGUAAAAAUCUCGUUUUUUUUUUUUUAAUGCAAACUGAUGAUAUGUAAUGAAUAAGAAAUAAAGGAAAAAAAGUAUUUAUAUUUGGAUUUGUGUACUGUUACUUCGAUUUUUAUACUGUUUGAAUUUUUGUACUGUUUCAUCUACAAAUACAAAUUAUGUCUAGUUGUUGAUUAACUAAUCAAAUUCUAUUAUGGAGAUUAUCACUGCAAGUUAAAACAUGAGUAUUUUUUGGACCUUAACUACUAGAUAAAGAUAAUCCAAACAUUAUUUGAAACAAUUAUUUCUGGAUAAGAUUGUAUAUUUUUUCAACAACAAUUACUCAUGACUAAACAAUGAAGGUUUGUAAAAAGGUGUCAUCUAAGAGAUCACAUGUUUUGCUUGUUAGAAAGAGGAUUUAUAUCUUUUGAUGUAUGCUAAGGUUUAAAUCUCAUCUAGGUUGCUAUUGAAUGCAAUAGUAUUCUUACAAAGCUUUUUAGAAUAUAAAAGGAUUUGAGCUUAAAUUCAACAACGUUUCUGAAUUUAAAAAUUAUUUGUUUUUUCUUUUUAUAGCUUUACAUAAAGCAUAAA